rnacentral:misc_RNA from 1 species
UUGGAGGGCAAGUCUGGUGCCAGCAGCCGCGGUAAUUCCAGCUCCAAUAGCGUAUAUUAAAGUUGUUGCAGUUAAAAAGCUCGUAGUUGAAUUUCGGGGUCAGCAGGUUGGUCGUGCCACUGGUAUGAACUGGCCUUGCUGAUUCCUCCUUCUUGAAGAACCGUGAUGCCAUUAAUUUGGUGUUGCGGGGAAACAGGACUGUUACUUUGAAAAAAUUAGAGUGUUUAAAGCAGGCUAACGCUUGAAUACAUUAGCAUGGAAUAAUAAAAUAGGACGUUUGAUCCUAUUUUGUUGGUUUCUAGGGUUGACGUAAUGAUUAAUAGGGAUAGUUGGG